AUGGCGCAGCAAAGCGGCAAUGAUCUGAAGGCUGUAAUGGAGAAGCUGCUCCAGGCGUUCGAGGACGAAGUGGACAGUGAGCUGCCUCACAGGGCGGAGCUGGACCACAUCUUCCGCAUCCUCAAGGCAAACAAGGAGAAGAUCAUCUCGGAGCCACCGGAGGUGGGGAAGAAGGAGAAGCUGCCCGAGCUGCUGCGCAGUAUCGGCGAUGCCCUGCAGCAAUGCAAGGCACGGUCCAAGCAGCAGCAGUCUGAGUCUGACAAGGCCAAGAGCAAGAAGAUGACGAUGCCGUCGGUGAGCGACUGCAACCCUUUCAAGUCUCGACCCUCGCAGCUGUCCGUCGACCCCUUGCUGGAGCAGACCAUCGCCAUUCUCGGCGAUGUUCCUCCUCCUUCUCCUUCCCCUGAUCAGGAUGCAGGAGAGGAGGCCGUGACGGAGUACUACCAGUGGACAACGAGCUACGUGGAUGAGAGCCGGAUAUACGGCUGGGACAAGGAAGCCAACGAUGUGGUCGACGCCCUCGUCGGCAAGGAGGGGGAGGAGGAGGAUCAGGUGCUGUUCAGGACGGCGGGCAUCGCCGGGAUCCACGGCAGCGGCAAGACGGCGCUGGCGCAGAAGGUGUUCGUCCACGACAGGAUCAAGGACGCCUUCCCUCUCCGGCUCUGGGUUUGCGUGGGCCCGCCGGACCACGAGGACAGGUUCAACCUCCUCUACCGGAUGCUCGACAACCUCGGCCUCGACACCGCCAAGGUGGAGGACAUCGUCGACAAGGCCGACGUGGUCGUCAAGGCAGCCACCGACGAGGACAAGAUCAAGUCCAGGAUCGGCGUGCUGCUCUUCAUCCUCUACGUGACGCUGUACAAGACGGGGUACCUUAUCGUGUUCGACGACAUGAGGGCGUACAGCGACUGGUACAGCAACCUGACGCUGCAGCCACCCAAGGACGGCGAGUGGUACGAGCGGCUCGCCUACGGCCUGCCCAAGGCAGGAAGAGCGCCGUGCUCGUCACCAGCCGCAGCGAGGACGGCGCCAGGGUGA
rnacentral:rRNA from 1 species